AUGACAAAGCUCAUCAAGCAAGGCCCAGAAUCAGUAAACAACAAAGCAAAAAUAUGAAUCAAAACCAUCGGAAGGAACUGUUUAGGUAUUCUAGGUCUCGAUUCGUGUCAAACCCCUAGGGUCAUUCUUAAUUUGAAUUCAGAAUUCCUGGACAUAAGGACAACCUGAAUUGGUGAGCCAAGACAAUUGAAAGGGCACUCAAGCACAGGAAAAAAAUAUUAAAUAAGGCAGUUGGACUAUGGCAAUUUCAGCAGAAAUCAAUGAAACUUUAUACCUAAAAUACAAUGCUUAUCAGAAAUGACAAAGGCAUGCAACUCGAUUGGCAAAUGCAAGUUGAUCUUAAAGAAAGCAAAUCCGAAAUAUUACACAAGCUUCAUAUGAUGUGCUGUUAAAGAAGUUCAAUGACAAAAUUCUCAUGCGAAAAAAAUAUGAACACUCACUGUUCCUUCAACAUGGUGAGCCUCAAAGAUAAACUAUUAUCUAAGGGGAACUUCAACAGCUUUAAACUAGUAGAAAUGUGCAACAAUGACCAUAAAUUCAGAGAAAGGGGAAACACUUUAGUGAUCCAUGUCGAACUUGUCGAGACAAAAUAGUAGAUACAUUUAGAGUCGUGCAAGUAGGCUGCCUGGACAGUGCAAACAGGUCGGCUGACUCAAUUCAUCAAGGUUCAGAAUGACUACUUAUAUUCGAGUCCCUGACAACUGCUAUCAAUUAGCCUAUGCUCGAUGACAGUCCCAAAAUUUUGGUGAAAAAGUAAGCUCAUACUUUCAACCUUCAGAACGUGCAAAUAUGGUCGAGGGAUUAGGGAAGACGAAACCAUUCAACGAUUCAUGUCGAACAUAUUGAACUGAGACAGAAGAUACAAGCAGAUUGACUUAAAUAUUAAAGAACAUCAUAUGCAAGAAAAGAAGCAGAGAAGAUCAUUUUAUGAAGCGAUAUCCCUUAACAACACGACCAAAAUUCUGUCCAAUAACACUUUGAAACAAAUAAGAAAAAAAAACCAACUGUUCAAGUAAAGAGGGUGAUUCUAAUUCAAAGCUUCUAGAAAAUAAGAAAGAUUUCUCAGGAAUAAAUCAUUCAAAGUCCAGGAAGCAAACAUCCUGAGAAUAAACGUCAUAGUCUCAUGCUCGCUUAGCAAUCAUGGAAGUCGAACACAUCGUUCAUUUGAAAGCGACGAAACCUUGACUCAAAUGAAACUCGACAUCACAAUAACAGUUAAAUCAUAGAAAACUACCACUCAAAAUCAACUUCUACUAACUGAAAAUAUUCCCAAAUACAUCACACUACUAAGAAGCAGUUCAACAACAAAAGAAUCAUGCACAGAACCAAACAUCAUUCUGGACAAAAUCUCACUGCUCAAAAUACUUUAUAACAGAGAUGCGAAAGAUAAAGAAAUUGAACCUGAAAUUUCAAAAUAUUUUUAAUAAAUAUAUUCUCGACAAUACACCUUUUGAUUCCGAAUCCUAUAAUGAUCAGCAGAACAACAGUAGAAACAUAGCUGGAACUUCAAUUUGUAUCUUCCAGGAACUCAAAUCCAGAUUCAAAAAUAAGAAGAAAAAAUUGUAUCUAUGUUUUUUCUUAAACUUUAAUGACCUCGUCAAAGAAAAUCAACUCGGAAGAGCCAUUUGUUCACAGAAAACCUUUCAACCUUUUUUCUGAAUUUAUUUUAGCCGACCCCCCUUCAAAAUUGGAUAGAGCUUCUUUUGAAAAUGAAUUCCUGAUGAAUGUGGGGCUUAGAUUAAGUGAAAUCAAUCUAACGCCUCACACUCAUCCAGAAAAUCCUUUCCAGAAGCCUCCAAUCAGAGAUAAGUCUCAAAUCGAGCGAGUAGGAAGAAUCUUCCGUCAGAGACCGUUAGAAAUGGAAAGAUGAGAGAAUGAGGGACGCGUGGUUAUGGGUUUGAGAUUCACUCGCCUGAACUUGGACU
rnacentral:lncRNA from 1 species